rnacentral:misc_RNA from 1 species
GGACAAGUGGGUAGGACCGAAUACCAAUCGAAAGGGUGGAAGUCAUUCUAUUGAUGUCUCCCUCAAAUCGAGUGGGGAAAUUAAGAAAAGUAAGAAAUCUGAUGGAAAUUUGGUGACUUAACAACCAGAAGAGAGUGACAUCCGUCGUGUUAAUCUUUGACAUGCAAAGGAUCAAAACUUCUCGAGAUGAUGCGGGUUCGAAUGUAAGUUCUAAAGCAGCUCGCACAUUGGAGAUUGGGAAGCAGGUGGCUUUAGCGUAUUCUGAAUCGAAUGAGGCAAUGUUGUUAUUUUCUUAAAUCAGAUUAAAUCUGAUCAGGUUCGUCUCUCUAAUGUCGCAAUUUGAUUUGCUCUCUGUCCUUGGGUGCGGCUGGAUCUUUCUUUUCUAUUUUGAUUCUCUAGGUGUAGCUGGUCUCUAGUGUUCUUUUGAUUCUCUAGGUGUUGGAACUGACUUGUUUGAGGUGUUGUUGACGUCUUACAUCUUCGUCUUCUGCUUGGUGUUAGUAGUAGAUUUUUUUUUUUCACUCAAUGGUGAGUGGUGAUUCUUU